rnacentral:lncRNA from 1 species
CACAUGUGUCCACAUUAUUAGUUCAACAUCUCGAUGUCCAUGACUUGUGAAACAUAGUCAUCAACUAAUACAUGUGCUAGUCUAAUACUCAUGUGUGUCCUUACAUGAACUCCGACUAGGGACAACUUUAGAAUAACCAUACAAGUAAAGAGUUUCACAUACAAUUCACAUAAUUGCAAAUCAAUUCAAGCAGCCUUUAAUGGAUAUUCAAUGAACACAAUAUACAAAUCAUGGAUACAAAUGGAAUAUCAUCAUCUCUAUGAUUGCCUCUAGGGCAUACCUCCAACACUCUCCACAUCAACUCACCCUUGCAUGGCAACUCUACCCUACACUUGAC